GUGACCGGUCUACACCGGGAUGUUCAUAACCCUUUGUUGUCCGACUCUGUUGCCUCCGGGGCGACCCUGCCUUCGGGCGGGGGCUCCGGGUGGACACUUCAAACUCUUGCGUAACUUUGCAGUCUGAGUAAACUUAAUUAAUAAAUUAAAACUUUUAACAACGGAUCUCUUGGUUCUGGCAUCGAUGAAGAACGCAGCGAAAUGCGAUAAGUAAUGUGAAUUGCAGAAUUCAGUGAAUCAUCGAAUCUUUGAACGCACAUUGCGCCCCCUGGUAUUCCGGGGGGCAUGCCUGUUCGAGCGUCAUUUCACCACUCAAGCCUCGCUUGGUAUUGGGCAUCGCGGUCCGCCGCGUGCCUCAAAUCGACCGGCUGGGUCUUCUGUCCCCUAAGCGUUGUGGAAACUAUUCGCUAAAGGGUGUUCGGGAGGCUACGCCGUAAAACAACCCCAUUUCUAAGGUUGACCUCGGAUCAGGUAGGGAUACCCGCUGAACUUAAGCAUAUCAAUAAGUCGGAGGAA
rnacentral:rRNA from 1 species